rnacentral:rRNA from 1 species
GUAUGGAAAAGCAAAUGUAGGCAUGAGUAACGAUAAUGCGGGAGAGUAACCCGCACACCGCAAGACCAAGGUUUCCUGAUCAACGCUAAUCGGAUCAGGGUUAGUCGGGUCCUAAGGGUAAGCCGAACGGCGAUCUCGAUGGAUAAUCGGUUAAUAUUCCGAUACUAACAUAUACCUCGAUGGAGAGACGAAGGAACGUAAGUGCCGCCACCUGACGGAAUAGGUGGUUAAAGGGCGUAGGUAUAGGGGCAGAUUAAGAGUUAGUCCUUGCUGAAACCUGACAGUACAGAGAGCCUACGGGCAAUUUGAUAGAGCACCCAAGUCGACUUCCGAGAAAAUCUUCUAAGUUAUAGUAUAUGUUACCCGUACCGUAAACCGACACAGGUGGUCGAGGAGAGUAUCCUAAGGUGCUCGAGUGAAUCACGGUUAAGGAACUAGGCAAAUUAACCCCGUAACUUCGGGAAAAGGGGUCCCUAUGAAAGUAGGGCGCAGCGAAGAGGUCCAGGCGACUGUUUAUCAAAAACACAGGGCUCUGCAAAUUCGAAAGAAGACGUAUAGGGCCUGACACCUGCCCGGUGCUGGAAGGUUAAGAGGGGAUGUCAUCGCAAGAGAAGCAUUGAAUCGAAGCCCCAGUAAACGGCGGCCGUAACUAUAACGGUCCUAAGGUAGCGAAAUUCCUUGUCGGGUAAGUUCCGACCUGCACGAAUGGUGUAACGAUCUGGACACUGUCUCAACCGUGAGCUCGGUGAAAUUGUAGUCCCGGUGAUGAUGCCGGGUACCCGCAACGGGACGAAAAGACCCCGUGAACCUUUACUAUAGCUUAACGCUGAAUUUGGGUACACAAUGUGUAGGAUAGGCCGGAGGCUUUGAAGCGGGCACGCCAGUGUUCGUGGAGCCGACGUUGAAAUACGGCCCUUUGUGUAUUUGAGUUCUAACCCUGCGAAGGGGACACCGUUUGGUGGGUAGUUUGACUGGGGUGGUCGCCUCCAAAAGCGUAACGGAGGCUUCCCAAGGUACCCUCAGCACGAAUGGUAACCGUGCGUAGAGUGCAAUAGCAUAAGGGUGCUUGACUGUGAGACCAACAAGUCGAUCAGGUGCGAAAGCAGGGUAUAGUGAUCCGGUGGUUCUGCGUGGACUGGCCAUCGCUCAAAGGAUAAAAGGUACUCCGGGGAUAACAGGCUGAUCGCCGCCAAGAGCUCAUAUCGACGCGGCGGUUUGGCACCUCGAUGUCGGCUCGUCACAUCCUGGGGCUGGAGAAGGUCCCAAG